UACGAAGGGGGCUAGCGUUGCUCGGAAUUACUGGGCGUAAAGCGCACGUAGGCGGCUCUUUAAGUCGGAGGUGAAAUCCUGGAGCUCAACUCCAGAACUGCCUUUGAUACUGAGAAGCUUGAGUCCGGGAGAGGUGAGUGGAACUGCGAGUGUAGAGGUGAAAUUCGUAGAUAUUCGCAAGAACACCAGUGGCGAAGGCGGCUCACUGGCCCGGUACUGACGCUGAGGUGCGAAAGCGUGGGGAGCAAACAGG
rnacentral:rRNA from 1 species